AGAGUUUGAUCAUGGCUCAGAUUGAACGCUGGCGGCAUGCCUUACACAUGCAAGUCGAACGGUAACGCGGGGCAACCUGGCGACGAGUGGCGAACGGGUGAGUAAUGUAUCGGAACGUGCCCAGUAGUGGGGGAUAGCCCGGCGAAAGCCGGAUUAAUACCGCAUACGACCUACGGGUGAAAGAGGGGGAUCGCAAGACCUCUCGCUAUUGGAGCGGCCGAUAUCAGAUUAGGUAGUUGGUGGGGUAAAGGCCUACCAAGCCGACGAUCUGUAGCUGGUCUGAGAGGACGACCAGCCACACUGGGACUGAGACACGGCCCAGACUCCUACGGGAGGCAGCAGUGGGGAAUUUUGGACAAUGGGCGCAAGCCUGAUCCAGCCAUGCCGCGUGCGGGAAGAAGGCCUUCGGGUUGUAAACCGCUUUUGUCAGGGAAGAAAUCUUUCGGGUUAAUACCCUGGAGGGAUGACGGUACCUGAAGAAUAAGCACCGGCUAACUACGUGCCAGCAGCCGCGGUAAUACGUAGGGUGCAAGCGUUAAUCGGAAUUACUGGGCGUAAAGCGUGCGCAGGCGGUUGUGUAAGACAGAUGUGAAAUCCCCGGGCUCAACCUGGGAACUGCAUUUGUGACUGCACAGCUGGAGUGCGGCAGAGGGGGAUGGAAUUCCGCGUAGCAGUGAAAUGCGUAGAUAUGCGGAGGAACACCGAUGGCGAAGGCAAUCCCCUGGGCCUGCACUGACGCUCAUGCACGAAAGCGUGGGGAGCAAACAGGAUUAGAUACCCUAGUAGUCC
rnacentral:rRNA from 1 species